rnacentral:rRNA from 1 species
GACGAACGCUGGCGGCGUGCUUAACACAUGCAAGUCGAACGGAAAGGCCCUGCUUUUGUGGGGUGCUCGUGUGGCGAACGGGUGAGUAACACGUGAGUAACCUGCCCUUGACUUUGGGAUAACUUCAGGAAACUGGGGCUAAUACCGGAUAGGAGCUCCUGCUGCAUGGUGGGGGUUGGAAAGUUUCGGCGGUUGGGGAUGGUAUCGCGGCUUAUCAGCUUGUUGGGGGAGUUGUGGCUUACCAAGGCUUUGACGGGUAGCCGGCCUGAGAGGGGUACCGGCCACAUGGGGACUGCGAUACGCCCCAGACUCCUACGGGAGGCAGCAGUGGGGAGUAUUGCACAAUGGGCGGAAGCCUGAGGCAGCAGCGCCGCGUGCGUGAUAACGGCCUUCGGGUUGUAAACCGAUGUCGCCUGUGACGAAGCGUGAGUGACGGUAAUGGGUAAAGAAGCACCGGCUAACUACGUG